UAUGACAAGCAGAAGUGAGGUUAUGUUAUUUUGUUAUGAAUUCCCAAAAUGAUAAAAACGAUUAGUAAACGGUCAUUAUUUUGGCUAUCUACUCAAAAACAGAUCAACAUACCUGACGAUGAACCCUACCCGUACUAUCGACCUCGCUGGACUCGUCUUUGGCAUGGAAAUAUCAGCUUAUCCUUGUUCUUAAUGUACAUAUUUUAUAAAAAGAAGUUGAAUAAAUAUAAAAAAACUGUA